UCUUCCUCUCCUCCCUCCUUCUCUUCCCCCCAAUACUUUCUUAUCCUAUUCUGUGUGCAUACUCGACAACGAUACAACCACGAUGAUACGAUCAUUGACGAAGAUGGAAAUGAAUAUAUCCACAGCAUUUGCUUUCGUGGGAAACAAACAAAAGAUUCACAUUGGAGUACCCUUCAACGCGUCCGAAAAUCUUAUCAAAAUGGGCCUUGGCUACGGAUUACUUUUGUUUCUUUAACGACUUCGGCGAGACAAAAAUAAUCGAUUCUCAGAUCUCUUACUACGACGAAGCUCGAAAUGCGUGCCAACCAUCUUUUGUCUUCUUCGUGCUUUGUUUACAAUCGUACGAUUCACGCAAUUCGAUCGUAACGCGUGAUAUCCGGAGAAAAGAGAUGGGAGAAAAGACUUGAUUUUGUCGAGACUCGAGAACCUACCUGCAUUAACCUGUGCCUCCUGCAGAUAAGACAGUGCCAUUCUACGAUCCGUGAUACGUGGUUUCACUUAGACACUCCAUCCACUCCCCCGCACAAUGUUAUCACUUGCGACGAAGAAGAUCGAAAAUAGAUACGUGGCACUGCACCAACGAAAAGAAAGAAAGAGAUCAAUUGGAAAAGAGAGAAAGAUUGAAAACGAGAAAAGGAAAGAAAUAAAGAUAUCUCGCGAGCGUUAGCGACGAAUGUUUUGAUCUGUUUUCCUCUUGGUGAUCUCUUUUCCUUAUCGAACUUGGAACAGUUAAAAAAAAUCGUGCGCGGGAAACCACAAUUGUUGUCUUAUACGCAAUCCUCGUGGGUUUUUCCUUAUUCCAGUAGAUACGAUUAGACGUAUAUUAAAUCUUCUUUAUAAAUCUUGAGAAGAGGAACUACGAACGAGCGAAUCCUUUCCGUUUUCUUUUUUUUUCUUUUUCUUUUUUUACCCAUCCAUUGAGAAAGUACAUGUACGAUCGUGAAACUUAAACCGAGUAAACGAAAAAUAAAAAAAAAAUAAACAACUGAAACAGCCGAGGCGAGUCGUUAUUACUUUUCUAUUAUAAA